rnacentral:rRNA from 1 species
UAGAGCGGCGGACGGGUGAGUAACACGUGGACAAUCUGCCCCCCGGCCCGGGAUGGCCCAGGGAAACCUGGAUUAAUACCGGAUGAGACGGGACCCGCGAUGGCGGGACCCGGGAAAGGCGCUGCGGCGCCGGCCGGGGGAUGAGUCUGCGUCCCAUUAGCUAGACGGCGGGGUAACGGCCCACCGUGGCGACGAUGGGUAGCCGGCCUGAGAGGGUGGACGGCCACAUUGGAACUGAGACACGGUCCAGACUCCUACGGGAGGCAGCAGCUAAGAAUCUUCCGCAAGUGGGACGAAAGCCUGACGGAGCGAACCGCCGCGUGAACGAAGAAGGCCGUGAGGUUAGUAAAGUUUCGUUUCGGGAGGGGGAACAACCGUGGCAGGGAAUGGCCGCGGGAUGACGUGAAUCCCGGAAUAAGCCCCGGCUAACUACGUGCCAGCCGCCGC